rnacentral:rRNA from 1 species
UACGUAGACCUCGAGCGUUAUCCGGAUUUACUGGGCGUAAAGCGCACGUAGGCGGAUUUUUAAGUCAGGGGUGAAAUCCUGGAGCUCAACUCCAGAACUGCCUUUGAUACUGGGAAUCUCGAGUCCGGGAGAGGUGAGUGGAACUGCGAGUGUAGAGGUGAAAUUCGUAGAUAUUCGCAAGAACACCAGUGGCGAAGGCGGCUCACUGGCCCGGUACUGACGCUGAGGUGCGAAAGCGUGGGGAGCAAACAGGG